GGGACGCUAGCUCAGUGGUAGAGCAUUCGGCUUUUAACCGACUGGUCCUGGGUUCGAAUCCCAGGCGUCCCAUCA
rnacentral:tRNA from 1 species